rnacentral:lncRNA from 1 species
UUACCCUUCCAAGUGAGAAAAAGUACACCACACUUUUUGAUCAGCUUUGCUUACGAAUUCACAUUCGACGAAUCCUAUAUUUAUUGGGGAAGGUUUUGAUUCUUUGCUAUUUCCUCUUUCUCCUCCCUAUUAUUUGAUUAGUGCUGCCUGAAAAGAGUUCCUCGUAAGAGGGACAGUCAUAACAAGAUUACGAUUAGCGAUUUUAGAAUGGGGAUUCUAUAGGGCCUUGGCGGGCGUAAGGGGUUCAUACCACACACAUAAAUAUAUUCCACUCUUUUUUUUCUUCUGGGUCGCCAACUUUCAUUCCCUUCCUUUGAAGGAAUUGGUCGGCUUCCUCGCUUUCGCGAGUGUGUAGCUCUUCGAACUUGGUGACCUCUACUUUUGAGAGAUUGUUAGGCUCCAUGGCAUUCCAGGAACAAACUAUCACUUCUAAUCGGGAUUCCAAGUUCAUGAGUCACUUCUUUUGCUAUUUGCCUACUCUGAUGCUUAUAUAAUACUUAUAUCUGGUUGGUUAUUCCUUGCUUGAGAAAAGAGAAGGUGAUUCAAUCAGAGAAGAGUGGAAAGAGCUUACUCCAACGUAAGGAGGGAAAGCAGCCUCACUCAGCACAAAAUAGCGUAUAUAUAGAAGUUCCACCUCUUAAUCUAAUAAAUUAGCUCAUUUUAGUUUCAAUUCCUAUAUUCUUUCUUAUUUUGAGCUUGAAAGAAGAACUGGUAGGCUUGGCGCCCUAGGCCCCUUUAGGUCAAGUAAUAUCCUAUGGUCCCCUCUUAGCCCUUUUCUCAGUCUAUUCUAAUAACCUUUCACUAUUCUAUUAGUUCAAUAUACGGUUGUAGAAAGAAAGUCUACUGGACGUGGGAAAACUGACUGAUAGUGAGAACUAUUUCAAAGAGACUGGUAGUGAGACUGAGAGUGAGAACUAUUUCAAAGAGACUGAUAGUGAGACUGAGAGUGAGAACUAUUUCAAGAUGAUAGGGUUGUCGCCUAGGAGUGAAGUUCUUCCCGGGCAGGGAGAACGAACGAUGUUGAUUGACAUAAGGCGCCUAGUCACAUUCCGAAGCAUUGCCUCUUCGUUGAAAGUCAAAAGGGAGUGAUAUGAUUCCCAGGUGGGGAUCACGAAUGAUAUAUAGCACGAUGAACGUCGACUCGACCUAAUUUCUUAAGUCAGUCUCUUAGCCACCGACCUCUUAUGUUCUCAGUCUUCAAUUUCCCUUUUCUUGAGAAAAAGCCGGAAAGAAUAAAGAAAGAUAUUGAGAAAUAUUAUAUACUAUAUUAUCGGUGUUGACAGAACACAGGUAGGCUUGGUGCUUAGUAUAUCGUCAAAAAGAAAAGCAAGAUGCUUAUUAUCUUUUAGACUUUAAUACAAUACUCGAAAUGCACGAGAGUAAAGUGAUUCCAGGGCUGCUUAAUCGACGAAGUAAGAUAGAUGAGAUUGAAUCGGCUGAAAGAGAAGGUAAGACUUAAAGAAGCUAACAGCAGAUCUUAGUUCUACCUAACAGGUAAUCCCAGAUUCAUAAUGUGAAAUAAAGUCACUCUGGAGGCAUGAUUAUAUGAUUGAAUGAUCAAGCCUGCUAAUCCAUGCUAAGAACAGGAAAUGUCAGUGACUUAAAGGAGUGAAGAGAGCAUUAUCCGUCGAGCUACUUCUUUCCUAGCUUCGUCAGUUUAUCUAGGAGUAGGAGUAAGAAUUCAUAAGUAGUGGUGAAUCCGUGCAGCUGUCAGCAACAAUGGUAGUUGUUUAUUCUCACCUGCUAGCUGCUUUGAAGCCGACUUAUUCUUUCUCUCUUUCCCCUGAAUAGGGAAAUGAGUGUAACUCAGUGUAAUGAUUCGUUUUCCCCUGAAUAGCUUCUUGUUGUCAUCAACAUAAAGAAAUAAGGUGCACAAUCCAAGCGCUAAAUAGACUGGGGAAUCUGUGCUAGGUAUCAGGAAGCGGAUGCGAUCCGAUUACACUCUUACUUAGCUAGCACUAAGCUAUUUCAUAACCUUGUCUCACGCGGGAGAAGAUUCAAAUAGAAGAGGGUUUUAGCGGCUUUGGAAGGAGCCCUAUCUAUUAGGGUUAGACAACUAAUAUUGUCUAGUAGAGUAAAAUAUAGGAUAAUUGGCAAUAGGUGAAUUCACCAGUUCUAUAAGGAUUAUCCAUUAGCGCUGAUAGCUCUAUUUUGGGUGGAUAAAGGAAAAUCUCCCCCUUUGCCUUCCUGAGUUCCCAUAGGAUUGAUAGCUUUUGGCCAUUGUCUUAUACUAGUGCAAGGUUAUAGUCGAAUUUCAAGUAAACAAUAGGGCAAUCAAAUGCCAACUCUACUGCAGCUUUACCACUUCCUGUAUGCGUACUGGCUUCCCUAACUGCUGGAUUCAAUCCACUUGCUCAUUGCCUUGAGAAUGAAAACUGCUCAAUUCGGAGAAAAAUCCGAUUAGAGUAGUUCUCUAGAAGCCCAUUAUAGUAAUACUGCAAAGAAUGCAUAUGAAAGCUGUCCUCGAUCCCCCCCUUUUCCUGACUUACUUCUUGGGAAAUGAGACUUCCCGCCUUGAUCAAUAAUCAUUUUGAUUUUCCUGAUAGAUUGCAUUGGUCUAAAAUGCUAGCUUGAAAAGGAAGUCCCUUACACUAGUCCAAUUCGUUUUUGGUUAUUAGCAAGCUUUGAAGAAUAUUUUCUCGAUCUUCACUUCAACUGGCCGGAUGUGGAUGGAACGUAUGCUACGAGUGCUUUAGUUGCGACGUGGGUACCGGUUGUAUUCUAAGUUGAUUCAACAACAGCCUAAGUUUCCUUAUUUCAACAAAUUUCCUGUUCGGGUAGGAUAGUGAGUGUCAGGAGAAAGAAAAGAAUUAGAAGCGUCUCUCAUAGGUUCACCAAUUUAUUGACUCUUGCCAGGUACCUCGAUGUCUCAUCGUAAGAUGUUGGAGAGUCUUAGGGCCAAGGGCUUCUUCACAGCCUGAAACCCGAUUCCCUUGCUUUAUUGAAUCCUGUAAGUCACUUCGUUCUCCAGUCUCCUUCUAGGCUUCUAGUAGCCCUUCUUCCUUCCACCAAGAUAAACUGGAACCUUAUAGAAAGAAUAGCCCUAGAGGGUCUUACCCUUACUCCAAACUUAGACACUCUAUCUAUUAAGCUAUCUUUUAACUGCUAUGAGACUUAUUAACAACGUAUGAUAAUUCAAACUUUUAAAACUCUUAGACAAGUGAAUCAGAGCUUGAGAAUAUAGCUAUUGCAAAAACUGUCUCUGCAUAGGGGAAUGCCAAUGGCUUCAAGCAAGGAACGUAGUAACUAAACUCUAAGGAGAGGAUAGAAAGUUCCAUGUCUAAGAAGGAAAGGAUAUCUUGGCAAGAAGAUAUGUGUGGCCAGUAGGUUUCACUGUCAAUCUAUCCUCGUACUGUAAAGAAGCAUGAAUGGCAUACCGAUUGGAUUUUAUAACGUACAACCAGUCAUUGUAAAGUUCGGAUAAGUUUCAAGUUAUAACAUAGCCCGAUGUCAAGGUGAGACGCCCAGUCCAUCUCUUUAAGAAAGAAGGUUCAUCCUAGCUUAGUCGAAGUCUAAGGCAAAACAAGAAUCCCAACAGUGCUAAGCUAGUAGGAUUUCCUCUUGGAAAGAAAAGACUAAAUAAGCUAUCCAAUCAGUAGACAGACUGGGAACUCUAUGAGGUACGCAGUAACUCGACUAUAGGGAUCCCGUAGAAAGCCUUAUCUAUCAAUAUAUAAUCAUUGAAUGGAGGAUAACAGCCGAGAAGGAUAUGAAAGACUAUGGUUCAAAGCGAACUAGCUAGAGCGGGAUCUGCUGACCCUGAGGGAAUAAGGAAAGAAGCAAGCUUGGGUGCUUUAUUUCUUUUUGCUUGUAGCAUGAUAUGUAGGCUGAACACAAACCCAAUCGAAGUGAAACUCUCCUUUCCUUACUUGUUCCAAGUAAGAGAAUUGGCAUUACCUUCGAAAGGUAGGAGCUCAAAUCCGGCUCGGUUAGGGUAGACCCAGGGAAAGUGCUGUGCACAAAGGUUUGAACCAUGGGGCUCCUUGGGCAGAUACUAUUACAAUAGAGAAAGCUCAUCUUCCCAUUACCGGCGGAGAACUCAAGGGCUCCAAACUCCUUAGGUCUUGUUUUGUAAGCUUGAAGCUUUGAAACCUGUCAAAAUGAACUUACCGCUCCCCUAACCUAAGCUUACUAGAUCAAUUGUUUCACUAUCGAAACCCGUACCGUACACGCCGCUUUCUCGGCUUCCCCUGUAUAGCUAGCCUUCUUCUUCAUAUGAAGACUUUAAAUGAGAUAGUGAGAUAGUUCGUAUGAGGUCUUACGUGGAUACUCUUUAUAUAGGGAGAGUUUCUUCAUUAUGCUCCAUCGUAAGGUACGUAGUAGCUCGACCAACGUACGUAGUCGCUCGACCAUAAGGGAGAGGAUAGACUGGUUCGUAAGAAUAAUAUAGCUGAGUACAUACUUUGACCCCUUACCAUAAAGCCAGGAAAGGAUAGGAAACCUCGAGUAACGGGAGCUCGUUCACUCAUUCUUCGGUACGUAGCUUCAGCUCACUCAUGAAACGAAUCCGUUGCAACAAAGAAAGCUAAGUAUAGGACUUGUCUGUAGGCAGAAUAGAGUAAGUAGGCCGUUAGGCAAUACGACAGUAAGUACUGGAGAAAAAUUAUUGGACAGAGGGUUCAUUGGAAGGUAGGCGAACAUUCUUCUUGCUUGGUCUUUUAUAGGUAUGUUAAUGUUCAGUCUUUGGUGCAGUACGCUUGAGUGAGUUCGCUUGAUCUUUGCUAAUUGGAUGCCAUUGUUAUUGCUGUAUACUGUCUAUCUAUAUAUUUCAUAAAAAGACCUUUUUAGUAAGAUCUUAUAUUAUCUGUUCCAAGAGCGAUGAGAUCCCCCUCUAUCAUCGGGACCCCAAGCGGUAUUAAGAAUUGCUUAUAAAAGGAGAACUGGCUAACGAAGCCUAGCUCGUUUAGGUCCUGCCAUUCCUACCUAUCUAUCAUUGGUCAACUCGAGAAUUAGCUAGACUCGACCUUCUCUUUCAAAUGAAUUGAUUCGCCAGUUUAUGAGCUCACUAAGCCUACAGCCAAUGCUAUAUCUCUUGCUAUGGCUCUUAGCUCAGGGUGGGGUAUCUGGUCAGCACACUAAGAAUGAAGUAGUACGAUCGGCGGGCGUUGGAAAAAGAGCUUCAGUACAAUUAUCGCUGCUUAGCAAAAUGAGGUACAAAGCACCUUUCCGCUCUUUGCUUUGUGUAUGCUGGUUCGAAAUCCACUUCUUUCGCUGUCUUCUUUGUCUUCUUUUUGUUUGGAAUCUUUCUCUUGGUAUGAGGUUUGAAACCCCACUUUUUUCCCUUGAGCUUAAGCUUGCAUGCUGCCGGCUCAUUCAUUGUUGAUGUUUUUCCCGCGGUCUAUACCUUUUAUUGCUUUGCUCCUACGACUGGCGCCCGUGCUAAUGGUGAUCCCCAGGCCCCAAAAUCCUGAGGUAUGUUCCCGGUCUAUGUGCAACUGGAGAAUCUUUUUAUGGAUCUAGAAAUGGAUAUAGAGACUCCUACCGAAGAAAAGAUCUGCUACUCUUUCAUCCGGCAAAAAAGAGGUUUAGCUUAAUAAUGUGUUAGUUGAAGCGAUGGGAUUUGUUUGAUUCCCAUUGCCUGCUGUGUCUUCUCAAUCUAUAUUUGACAGCUUGAAUUGAAACGCUUCACUAGGUUGAACGAAUGGCCACUCUGUAUACUUAGCCGGAAGCAGGGCAUUCCACCGAUUCGACUGAGUGAGAUUCCCUUAUAGUUUACUUCUGUCCUUUACUAGUUGACAAGUGUUGUGUGAACUCGGAACCACUCUGUAAACCAAAAAAGCCAUGAGUCAAGAGGUUAGUGACCGUGCGGUAUCGGCAGAGAAAGUAAAGAAAGUGACACAAGUCACAUAAGUAAGCUGUCAAUAGGGAUAAAUGCAGUCAUUUUGCAUACAUAAUCAGCUUUUAAACCAUUCGAUUCGCGGGUCCCCUAAACCUAUGGAUGGUUUCAUAGAAUCUUUUAGGAGGCUCAGCUUGAAUCGAAACGCUUCGCUGGAGUGAACGAAGGAUGUUUCAAGUCCUUUAAUUGUGCGUUUACGCUUUAUUUAAGCAGCUUUGAAUGCGCUUUCUAAUCCGCUUCUGUAAAAAAAGGAGAACAGAGAGGCUCAGGCUAACUCACUGACAUGAUUGAAACUAUGCCUGAAAGGUAAACGAACAAGGAAGAGUGUUCACCAGUAUAGUAGCUAGUCUUGAAAGCAAAAAAGUCGUUCCUUCGCUGCUUGCUUUGUGCGCUAAGAGCUUUAUUUCCUUGCAAAAGUUAGGACAGUAAGAAUGGAAGAGGAACAUAAAAGGACAUUUUUCAGAGUGAAACUUAACCGAACGCCCUCUCUCUGUAGGACUCGCUAUCUAUGCCCGAACACUUAUUGAGCGAUCCAUUCUAUGAGCUGGGCAGCUAGUAGAGGUAGAGAGAAACCUCUUUUUUGUUAUGCUGGUACCAUUGAUUUCAUUCAAGCUUGUUACGAUCAGGCUCAUUUGGCUUAGAUCUUGCUUGGAAAUUGGUUUGGGUCAUUCGUUUGGCGCUUCGAGGCUGUCUUCGACUCAUAGAAUAAGGAAGCCCACUUUUUUUCUCUUUCAGACAAGAAAUGGAGUCAGGGACGGACAUGAAUCUGCGCCUUAUGUGCUUUUUCUUCUCUCUUGCUUAGGAAUAAAUGAUCGCGAUGUAGCAGGGUCAACUCUAUUAAAGUGGAUCAACAAAGGCGAGAUCAGCUCACUUGCCCACCGACCCCCGUCUCUUAUGUGAUGACACUCAGUCCUUAAACUUGAUCAGAAUAGUAGACAGAGAGGUAGGUAGUCAGGCUUGUAGCAAGUUCUUACAGGACGUAGCUAAACCUUCCGAGCCAAGAUUUACCACGCGGGUUUAGUGCAUUUCCAUGAACGUGAUCUUGCUAGGUCUUUAAUAGUAUUCUCUACUAAGACUGUUCAAAAGGCUUCAGAAAAGAAUAUAGUACAUCUAAUCAUACUGUUAUUAAUGAGUUUUGGGAAAAUUUAUAUAGGGAUAUAGAUGAUAAAAGCAGAAAUAAAGAAGAAAAAGCUACGUAUAAUAAUGUUAUGAAAUUAUUCUAUGAUUAUAAGAGGGAUAAAGAGAUCAUUAAUAAUACAAUUGAGAUCUCGGAUGAAGAAUUACUUGAGUUAUAGAAGAAGAUUGAAGAUAUAACUAGUCAAUUUGAUGAAUGUAGUAUAUUUAAUGAAAUUCCUAACUUAAUCAAACUAUUGAUAAGAAAGGAUCUUAUAAAUGCUAAAUCUUAUUUAUAUAAAUAUCUUCCUCGACGAUAUUUAGAAUAGUACUAUUAAUCAGUUCGGUUAAUAUACGCUGGAGGCUAUCAUAAUAUAUGUCUUAGGGUUGUUGUACAACUGUACUCAAGACACCUCAGUUGUGAGGGUAUCUACAUUGUUGGACAAGUUAGAUAGUACAGUUCGAAUACAGGCCAAUAUAAUCAAUAAGAAAAAUAUGGUUAGUAGUACAGCAACAAGUAGUCGAGUUGAUAUCAAAGGUCAUAAAUAUCAAAUUGGUAAAGGAUUNNNNNNNNNNNNNNNNNNNNNNNNNNNNNNNNNNNNNNNNNNNNNNNNNNNNNNNNNNNNNNNNNNNNNNNNNNNNNNNNNNNNNNNNNNNNNNNNNNNNNNNNNNNNNNNNNNNNNNNNNNNNNNNNNNNNNNNNNNNNNNNNNNNNNNNNNNNNNNNNNNNNNNNNNNNNNNNNNNNNNNNNNNNNNNNNNNNNNNNNNNNNNNNNNNNNNNNNNNNNNNNNNNNNNNNNNNNNNNNNNNNNNNNNNNNNNNNNGGACAACCUCGGCCACAUGGGCACUGGUAGUGAAUUGAUCACGGUAAUAAGUCCGGAUCGAGGAAAAUUCAAAUUCAUACUUGAAUCCCACUAGCUCACCGAAAACUAGGCCUUUCAUCCCUGUUUUUCUAAUCGAACUCAGAGGGAGGUGAAUUCGCUAAUUUAGGCUUUUUAGUCUGAUCCUCUAAGGCUUGAAAUAGAGUGAUUAGAUUGAUUUCUUUCCUUAUGUGGGUUUGCCUCACUUUCAUAGUCUCUCAUUCAAUUCAUCCCUACCCUAUCGUAGGAAAUUGCGUACACUUCCAGUUUGCAGCUGAUGAAAGUCUGUCCUUUCAUUACAGGUAUUGGGGUGAUUCGCUUCGGGACAACCUCGGCCACAUGGGCACUGGUAGUGAAUUGAUCACGGUAAUAAGUCCGGAUCGAGGAAAAUUCAAAUUCAUACUUGAAUCCCAGUCUUGGUGGUCUCAUAGUACACGUCUCUUUUUAUCAGCCUUUGAAUACUUUCGGGCUUCCCUUAGCUUUUAGGUGGAUUCAGUCUCUCCCUCCUAAAAAAGAGAAAUAGUCAAGUGAAAGGAGCCCACUUCGGAGUCGCUCACAGGAGAAGCACUGACCUUUUCUCUUUUCCCUAUCGACUUCGAUAAGACUAAUAAGUCAGGGCGAGAUCUUACUUAGAGAGAGUUAGUUGGGUAGGGUCAAUAGCUCUAAGAUCACAUCGGAUUCUAACCCUAAGGUGACUUUACUCCCUUUAGAGACGAUUAAAGACUAACAAAGGCAGGGCAGGAGAGAGGGAAACAAAGCAAGAAGUCAUCGUCGCAUCAUAGCGGGUUAAGAACUUAGGCUUAGUGAAUCCCCACUCAAAUUUCAUAUGUAAUGUAAGGAAAUCCUCUCUGUUGAAAGUGGAUCUUUCUAAAUGAAUUUCUGAAGCAAAGACUAGAAAACGAAAGAGAGAGAAGACAGUCAGUCCAGCUAGCAACUGAAUUUCAUGCUUCAAGCUUAAUGCGUUCAUUCUCUCUAGGGUCAUUGAACUAGUUGAAUGGAAUUCCUUCCCACGCGUACAAUAUGCCAAAGCUUAAAGUCGUUUGAUCCCUUUACCAAUCGUAGAAGACGACUUAUUCUAUCUCUUUGCUAUCUCCAUUGGUUGAACAGGGGGUAUCAAAAGAUCUCUACUUACCUUAGACUUAGAUAGAGGAGCUACAUGACUUUCAUUAGAUCCUACCACAGCAUAUCUGAAUUCAUUAUAGGGUUAAGAGUGACUUGCUUAGACUGCUGAAUAACCUUCACUUUAGCGAGCUGUAGGACAAACUAUAUUCAAGAGGAGAAAGAAAACUUGGAAUAGAAGGAUCAGUACCUGUAGCAGUCCUGGAGUUAGGUUAUGAUGGUCGUGAUGAGCUCUACUAGAAAUAAAGUCUCUUCUAUUCAUAGAUGAAGUCCUAUCUAAGGGCCUUCGUUGCCCUUGAAUUCCGUUCCCUAGUUCAAUCCAGAAUUCCAGAUGUGUAAGUAGCGGCCAAGCGGCUCUGUCCUUUUCAAAGAGGUUAUCCUUCUCUCUCCCCGCUUCUUAGUCUUAUAGGAUAGCUCACCAUUCAAGUAAGUCACUUUACCCGGCGCUUACUGUCUUCUUUCUAGCCUAAUUGGUAGCAGUCCCUUUUUAGUACCCCGUUUCCAACCAGUCAAGUGGCUUUCACUCCUUGACAGUCAGUCUAUUACCCAGCCCUGAUCCCAUGCUUUCCGUUGGUCAACAACUAACUAAAGUGCUCUAUACUUCUUCACUACUCGUACAGGCUUGACGGAGUUAAGCUGUAUUGAGGGAAUCGUUUUGUCUUAAUCAAUCAAGAAUGCCUCAACUAGAUAAAUUCAUUUAUUU